GCUAUUAUGAACUGGAUCCUUACAAAAGCCUCCUUGACAAUUUGAGGAACAAAGUGAUCAUUGAGUACCCAACAUUACAUGUGGUAUUAAAAGAAUCCAGUAAAGACAUGAAAAUUCUUCACCAAGUGAAAAGUGAAUCUACCAAGAACACUGGCAGUGAAAAUUGAGCACUUCUGGAGGAAGAAGGUGAAAAUUCUCAGACAAAUGCUGAGAACUGUACAUUGACUAGAUGUUGGGUGAUUGGGGUAUUGUCAGUGGGUGGUUGGCAUUUUUUGUUUCUCUGAAAAGUAAUUAAACAAUCUAAAAUUUUUUUGAGAAAGGUGUAUUUUCUAGCUUGUUGAAUUGACUUGUAAGGCCCUUAUUCCUAUUAACAGCCCCUUUUUUGCAGCUGAUCGGCAUAGUGCUUAUUUUAAUUAGGCCCUGGCUUUUAAUGUGAUUUAAUUCUAUAGGCUGAAAACUUAGUUUGAUGUAAGACCAAACCCAGGGAUCACCUGUGUUAGCCACCAAGUUGGCAUUCUCUUUAAACAUAAAGGCCAUGCGAUAUAGCAUCUAGCCACAGGAGAACUGAUCCAUCAGUUGCCCAUUCUUGCCUUUGGGAUUAUAUGUAACCUAUCCUCUUGGGAUGACUGAAUGGGUCUUUUGUACUUGGGUAGCAUCCAGUACAGUAUCAUGUGUAAAGGCUGAAUAAAUACUGUUAACUAUUAUUUCUUAUAUUCAGUUCAGAAGAUCAGCACCUCCACAUUACUGUUUGAACCAUCAGUGCUCAUGAAUUUGGCUCUACUUAUUCACACAGUGAGCUGGGUCUUGUAAUGAAGUCUGUGCCUUUCAUCCCAGUCCCACUCCACUCUUGUCGUUACCACACAGGGAUGUUGUGAUGAGCAGUUUUAUGCUGUGUUUUGAAACAUCUAGCAGUAGCUUAAAAAAAAAAACACUUGGAACUCUGCAAAGUGUUAUUGGAAUGUAUAUGUGUAUUUAUGUAUUUACAUGGCUUAAUUUAUACCUUAUGGCAGCUCUGUAUACAUUAUGAUCUCACAUAUUGAAAUUAAAAGUUUCCUAGCUUUAAUGGAAUUUAUACAGUUGUGAAAUUGCAAUAACUAUAAAAGAAUAAAAGAUUAUUACA